UAGUUUACAGUAUAUAAAGAGCCAAAACUUCAUCACAUCUCCAUAAAUUCUCCAUCUUCCUACUUUAUAAUAAGAAACUAUACUACAUACUCUUGUUUAACAAAUGCUCGAAAACAUCAUUUAUGACUCUCAUAUUGGUUCUAUUAGUUAUUUUAUCUUGUGUAAUUAAUGCUUCGAGCUCAAGGUUACCUCACGAAAUUGGAGUACUUGGAGUAGGUGGGCGUUGCACACCAGAUCUAAGAUGUUCAGAUGGAGAGUGUAUCGGAGAGUGUAUCGCAAGCUGUGGAGGGGAGGGGGGGCACAAGCUCCACAUUCACAUUGCCUUUGUGACUCAUGUUGUUGUAUAAGAUAAAUUUACAUUGUAAAAUAAUGCAAUAAUUAUAAUUUGAAUAAAGGAAUGAUACACAUUCUUUGUAGUUCGUUGCAUUCUCCAUGAUGAUGUUGUAGAGGUAGAUAUGUCCCAUUUUAUUUACCAUUACCUUUGUUUUUCUUGAGU